GCCCGCCUAGCUCAAUCGGAUAGAGCGUCAGACUCUUAUCGAGUGCGGGUGAAUACCAAUCUGAAGGCUGCGAGUUCGACCCUCGCGGUGGGCU